UACGGAGGAUGCAAGCGUUAUCCGGAAUGAUUGGGCGUAAAGCGUCCGCAGGUGCGUAUGUAAGUCUGCGUGUUAAAGCGUCUAGCUCAACUAGAUACAAGCAGUGGAAACUAGCAUAGCUAGAGUGCGUUCGGGGCAGAGGGAAUUCCUGGUGUAGCGGUGAAAUGCGAUAGAUAUCAGGAAGAACACCGGUGGCGAAAGCGCUCUGCUA
rnacentral:rRNA from 1 species